AUUGAACGCUGGCGGCAGGCCUAACACAUGCAAGUCGAACGAGUGGCGGACGGGUGAGUAAUGUCUGGGAAACUGCCUGAUGGAGGGGGAUAACUACUGGAAACGGUAGCUAAUACCGCAUACCAUCAGAUGUGCCCAGAUGGGAGUAGCUUGUUGGUGGGGUAAGGGCUCACAAAGGCGACGAUCCCUAGCUGGUCUGAGAGGAUGACCAGCAACACUGGAACGGAACCCCGGUCCAGACUCCGACGUGAGACAGCAGUGGGAAAUAUGGCACAAGGGGCGCAAGCCUGAUGCAGCCAUGCCGCGUGUGUGAAGAGGGCCUUCGGGUUGUAAAGUACUUUCAGCGGGGAGGCGUUACCCGCAGAAGAAGCACCGGCUAACUCCGUGCCAGCAGCCGCGGUAAUUC
rnacentral:rRNA from 1 species